AUUGAACGCUGGCGGCAGGCUUAACACAUGCAAGUCGAGCGGAGAUGAGGUGCUUGCACCUUAUCUUAGCGGCGGACGGGUGAGUAAUGCUUAGGAAUCUGCCUAUUAGUGGGGGACAACAUUCCGAAAGGAAUGCUAAUACCGCAUACGUCCUACGGGAGAAAGCAGGGGAUCUUCGGACCUUGCGCUAAUAGAUGAGCCUAAGUCGGAUUAGCUAGUUGGUGGGGUAAAGGCCUACCAAGGCGACGAUCUGUAGCGGGUUUGAGAGGAUGAUCCGCCACACAGGGACUGAGGCACGGCCCAGACUCCUACGGGAGGCAGAAGUGGGGAAUAUUGGACAAUGGGGGGAACCCUGAUCCAGCCAUGACGCGUGUGUGAAGAAGGCCUUAUGGUUGUAAAGCACUUUAAGCGAGGAGGAGGCUACUGAGACUAAUACUCUUGGAUAGUGGACGUUACUCGCAGAAUAAGCACCGGCUAACUCUGUGCCAGCAGCCGCGGUAACAC
rnacentral:rRNA from 1 species